rnacentral:rRNA from 1 species
AUUGAACGCUGGCGGCAUGCCUUACACAUGCAAGUCGAACGGCAGCACGGGAGCAAUCCUGGUGGCGAGUGGCGAACGGGUGAGUAAUGUAUCGGAACGUGCCCAGUCGUGGGGGAUAACGUAGCGAAAGCUACGCUAAUACCGCAUACGAUCUGUGGAUGAAAGCAGGGGACCGUAAGGCCUCGCGCGAUUGGAGCGGCCGAUAUCAGAUUAGGUAGUUGGUGGGGUAAAGGCCUACCAAGCCGACGAUCUGUAGCUGGUCUGAGAGGACGACCAGCCACACUGGGACUGAGACACGGCCCAGACUCCUACGGGAGGCAGCAGUGGGGAAUUUUGGACAAUGGGCGCAAGCCUGAUCCAGCAAUGCCGCGUGCAGGAUGAAGGCCUUCGGGUUGUAAACUGCUUUUGUACGGAGCGAAAAGGCUCUCUCUAAUACAGGGGGCUCAUGACGGUACCGUAAGAAUAAGCACCGGCUAACUACGUGCCAGCCGCCGCGGUAACAC